UACGUAGGGUGCAAGCGUUGUCCGGAAUUAUUGGGCGCAAAGAGCUCGUAGGCGGUUUGUCGCGUCUGCUGUGAAAACCCGAGGCUCAACCUCGGGCCUGCAGUGGGUACGGGCAAACUAGAGUGCGGUAGGGGAGAAUGGAAUUCCUGGUGUAGCGGUGGAAUGCGCAGAUAUCAGGAGGAACACCGAUGGCGAAGGCAGUUCUCUGGGCCGGUACUGACGCUGAGGAGCGAAAGCGUGGGUAGCAAACAGG
rnacentral:rRNA from 1 species